UUCUACUUAUGUUGAUGAUACUUCUUAUGAUAUUGAUUCAAAUGCUCAACUCGAUCGUGAACUUUUACAACAAAUUUAUGGUGAUAUUAAUCCUUAUCUUGAUGAAAAUUCAGGUGAAGAAGUAGAAGUUGGUUCGGGAGAAGAUGAAUUAGAAGAUACACCUACUAGUCCGGUGACAAAUGUUCCAAAUGAAACUACAAAUUCAACGGAGCAAAAUUCUGGACGCCCACCCCUUAUACCUCCUACAAGGGAGAAGAAACAGUGGAAGACGAAGAUGGCAAUGAAGAUUUAUUAGCAUGGUGGAGGAGGCGGAGCGUUGCAUUUCCAAUUUUAAGCAAAAUGGUUCGUGAUGUUCUAGCUAUUCAAGCUUCAUCAGUUGCAUCAGAGGCUGCUUUUAGUGCGGCAAGGUUUCAACUUGGCGAUCAUAGACAUUCAUUGGCGGAAGACAGUUUGGAAAUAUCAGUUUUAUUUAGAGAUUGGGUCAACGCCGAAAGGAGAAAUGAUAAUUUGCCAAAGUUAAGUUCCAAACAAGAAGCUUGGAUUAAUGCGGUACUUGGAUCUAGUGAUGAUGAAUUAGAGUCACAAGAGUUUCUAGCAAGUUUGCCAACACCGGAGGAUGUUACCGUCGAUAUGAUGCGACAAUUAGAAUUGAAUUUUAAAGGAAAAUACAAAUAUUAGAUUACAUCAGAGAACUAAUUGAAACAGAACCCUUCCUAGAAGGUGGCUGCGUAAAUUAGUUACUCAUCUAAUAUUUGUAACAAAUAUUAGUUUUACAUAUGAGAACUUAUUGAAACAGAACCCUUCCUAGAAGGUGGCUGCGUAGAUUAGUUACUCCACUAAUAUUUGUAAAUUGUAACUUCUAAGUUCUAAGUUGCAAUUAGAUUUUAUUGAAUAAAUUUGAAGGCUUUAUUAAGUCUUUUUUAUAUAA